rnacentral:other from 1 species
ACAUUCCUGGGAUGUGCGCCAGCCGAGAAGUCCCUGAGCCGAUAAUUACUCCUAUGCUUCUCUUAGUCAUUGUUGUUGAGCAAUUCCGCGAGCCGGAGAGCCUGAUGCAAUGCGAGGGUCGCCCACUUGAACCUGUCGGUUCAAGGCCACGUCGGUAGCGGCAUCCUGGGGCUUUU